AUUGAACGCUGGCGGCAGGCCUAACACAUGCAAGUCGAACGAGUGGCGGACGGGUGAGUAAUGUCUGGGAAACUGCCCGAUGGAGGGGGAUAACUACUGGACACGGUAGCUACUACCGCAUACCAUCGGAUUUGCCCAGAUGGGAUUAGCUAGUAGGUGGGGUAACGGCUCACCUCGCCGACUAUCCCUAGCUGGUCUGAGAGGAUGAACAGCAAACCGGGAACGGAGACACGGUCCAGACUCCUACGGGAGGCAGCAGUGGGGAAUAUGGCACAAUGGGCGCAAGCCUGAGGAAGCCAUGCCGCGUGUAUGAAGAAGGCCUUCGGGUUGUAAAGUACUUUCAGCGAGGAGGCGUUACUCGCAGAAGAAGCACCGGCUAACUCCGUGCCAGCAGCCGCGGUAAUUC
rnacentral:rRNA from 1 species